rnacentral:rRNA from 1 species
GUGUCAGCAGCCGCGGUAAUACGAAGGGGGCUAGCGUUGCUCGGAAUCACUGGGCGUAAAGGGCGCGUAGGCGGCGUUUUAAGUCGGGGGUGAAAGCCUGUGGCUCAACCACAGAAUGGCCUUCGAUACUGGGACGCUUGAGUAUGGUAGAGGUUGGUGGAACUGCGAGUGUAGAGGUGAAAUUCGUAGAUAUUCGCAAGAACACCGGUGGCGAAGGCGGCCAACUGGACCAUUACUGACGCUGAGGCGCGAAAGCGUGGGGAGCAAACAGGAUUAGAUACCCCUGUAGUCC